rnacentral:lncRNA from 1 species
AUGAAAAUCUCUUUUUAUUUUGUUCUAGGGAAAUUGCCUCUGGCAGACAACAGUCCUCCAGUGCCAGCCAGCCUGGUGGGAGAUGGACACCCCACUAUUCCACAGAAUGCCGGAGCACCUCUGACAAAACACACCUCUCACCUCCAAGAAACACCAAAUGCUCCCCACAACCCAAACCUACAAGCACACAGCAUCCACCUGGUCCAGUUCUUCUGCUGCAGUACAGACCACAGAGAGGAAAAUCUUUGGAUAUGGAACACAGUGAGAGGAAGGAUGGGAAGUAGGGAAACCAAGAAUAAACACAGACUUCCCUCUACCAACUCUGCAGAAUUCAGGGAAAAAUAUUAAUAUAAAAGGCUCUCUAACAGUGUCACUGAGUACGGGAGUACCCUUGGCAUCUAGGCACUGUCAAAAAGCUAAAGGAAUUUGUUGGUCUUUGUCUCCAGCUGAGCUCUGAAUAGUUUUUCACCUUUUUAUUUUUUUAAGUUUUUUACAGUUAAACUUGUGCAAACACUGACUAUUAUGUAGUGAACAAGAAAAAAAAUCGAUAAAAUGCUUCUUAGAAUAUUCUUUCCUUUUUUUUCUAUUUUGUUGUUGUUAUUAUUGUUUGUUUUAUUUUGUUUCCCUCUACUAGAAACUAGCCGUAGUGAUCACAUGCAGAUCUGUGUUUGCUUCAGUGUUAUAUUACUGCAACUAAAAUUAGAAUCUGGACUGAAACAUUUGGUAUGUAGUUCUGAACUAGCAAGUAUGCAAUUAGGGUGUAAAAUGUUGAUAUCUGCUGCAUCCAAUAGUUCUGCCCAAGUAAAGCACAUUCCUACCUGAAUUCCCUCCACAAACAUCUUGAAUUAACUGACAUUAUCAUAAUAAAAACAUCUUGGGCUUUAUGUCA